ACCCGCGUCGCAUUAGCUAGUUGGUGAGGUAACGGCUCACCAAGGCAACGAUGCGUAGCCGACCUGAGAGGGUGAUCGGCCACACUGGGACUGAGACACGGCCCAGACUCCUACGGGAGGCAGCAGUAGGGAAUCUUCCGCAAUGGACGAAAGUCUGACGGAGCAACGCCGCGUGAGUGAUGAAGGCUUUCGGGUCGUAAAACUCUGUUGUUAGGGAAGAACAAGUGCUAGUUGAAUAAGCUGGCACCUUGACGGUACCUAACCAGAAAGCCACGGCUAACUACGUGCCAGCAGCCGCGGUAAUACGUAGGUGGCAAGCGUUAUCCGGAAUUAUUGGGCGUAAAGCGCGCGCAGGUGGUUUCUUAAGUCUGAUGUGAAAGCCCACGGCUCAACCGUGGAGGGUCAUUGGAAACUGGGAGACUUGAGUGCAGAAGAGGAAAGUGGAAUUCCAUGUGUAGCGGUGAAAUGCGUAGAGAUAUGGAGGAACACCAGUGGCGAAGGCGACUUUCUGGUCUGUAACUGACACUGAGG
rnacentral:rRNA from 1 species